UCCUGUGAAUUUCAAAGCCUUUGAUAGUCAUGAAACAUCAGAGGAUCCUUUAUGCUAAGCAAAACGUGUGUGAAAGCAGUGCUGCUUCUGAUCCCGCCAGGAGCUGCUGCACACCCCGUUCCUCUUCCUUAUGUUUGUCUUCCCCCAGCUGAUGCAGUCAAUUUGCAUUUGUCUGGGUGGCCGUGGCUGUGCCCUUACUCUGCUCUGGUGGAUGACAGCAGACCAAAACCCAUUAUAGGACUUGCCUGCAUGGCCAGUGGCCACCCCAGCCCGGAUGAUCCACAGGGAUGGCUGCACUCCAAGCCCCGGGAUGCCCUGCCUGCAGCAGAGCACACAACUCACUUUGGUUUUGUCCCAGCCUCCCUUUACAGGAUCAGGCAGCGAGGCCAUGGCACAGGGAUUUCCUGGAAGAGCUCUGAUGGCACCAGGCACAGGUGGCAGAUUUAUAGGCAGACACAAAUCACUGUGAAUGCAGGUCACUGGAAAGGACAGCACAACCACCCGAGCUGGGCAGCCUAUCCUUGGAACAGGUGCCAGCCAAGUGGAGAAGCUGCAGCAUAAAGGGGCAGGACAUGGCAUGGGCACCCCCAGGGGAACAGUCCAGGGAAGCUGAGUUGGGAGAAGACAGUGAGAGCAGUGAGGAGCCCUCCUGCCACCACAAGCAGGCUGCAGGGCAAAGUAAUGCAUGACUGCUGCUUGAAAGAAGAGCUGGUUGAAGAUUGCAUCCAUACUGCAAUGCAACAGAGGAAACAUCAUCUUAUCAUGAGGCCUGAUGGAUAUCUUUCAUCUCUGACAAGGAAAUGGAUGCAGGUUUGCCCAUCUGCAGGUUCCAUGACUGUUUGGAAACAGACAAGCAUCAUGCUUUCAUCCAGGAAGGUCAGUUCUCCUCUCCUCCUGCUGUCUGCU